GGUCGACUCAAUUCUUUUUUAUAUUUUUAAAUAAAUACUAAGUCUAAUGCAUGUAUAUAUGCUAUCUAUUUCUGCAGUUAUUAUUGGAUUUUACUCAUACUUGCCGUAGAGAGCGGCAAUCUUGUACUGUUUGACUCAAUGAGAAAACCAAAGUCUGCAAUCUAACAUAUCAUAGACCCCUUAAACAGGGUGUGGAAAAAAUUUGUGAAAACGAACAAAGGAUGUGGUCAAUGGAGGCCCGAACUGAAUGUUAAAAUGGAUUAUCCGUAUGCGAGACAAAAACAAGGAACAGAUUGUUGCGGGUACUACAUAUGCGACUUCUUGCACAUCAUGACUCCAUGCGGGAAGUCUACUACGGAGGACCUAAGAAUGUCUCGGAUCACGGAUGAAGUUUAUUCUACCGAUCGGAUCAACGCCAUGUGCGAGCAGCUCGCCGGAUUCAUUUUGAACGAGAUCCUGGAUCCUAGAGAAGAGUUCUACCACGACGAUUACAUCCAUAGAGGAUUUACAUCGACAUCCUGAGGGCCUAUUAGACUAUAAACAUGACUUGUACAUUUAUAAAUAUUUCUAAACGUGAUGUCUUGUUGUUUGUAUAUUUGUAAAUAUAUUAGUUUAGCUAAUUAGCUUAAUUAUAUGUUUGCAUUUGACUU